ACAAGAUUUCACCCCUACCCCUGAAGUACCUCUCACCUCUCCCGGCCUCGAGCCAGACAGUAUCUCCUGAAAGCCUGACAGUUAAGCUGCCAGAUUUCUCAAGAGACUUAUCCGGCCGGCUACAGACCCUUUAGACCCAAUAAUAACGGUUACCACUCGAGCCGCCGGUGUUACCGCGGCGGCUGGCACCGGUCUUGCCCGGCCCUUGCUAUGAAAUGCUUUUUAGGCAUCUCGACAGCCAGAUUUGUAACCUGGCACUCGAGGUUCCCUUAUCGCUGUUGCCAGCAUUGUAAAGUUUUCGCGCCUGCUGCACCCCGUAGGGCCUGGAUUCGUGUCUCAGAAUCCAUCUCCGGGCUCUUGCUCUCACAACCCGUACCCGUCGUAGGCUAGUAGGUACGCUACACCCACUACUACCUGAUAGGCCGCAGACCCAUCCUUAGGCGCCGGAGCUUUAAAUCUCGAUGCAUUCCAGCAAUCGAGACCUAUCGGGUAUUAUACCCAGUUUCCCGGGUUUAUACCCAACCUAAGGGCAGGUUGUCCACGUGUUACUGAGCAGUUCGCCAUGUAUUGCUACAUUCGACUCGCAUGG
rnacentral:rRNA from 1 species